AUGUUGUUUCUGCGCAGUCCUAACGAUCCAGAUCAACAACAUCGCACGCUUCUCUCUGAUGUCGCUCAAGUCAAACGAACCACGUCACCAUCCGCCUUAGUCUGUGAUGGACAACCCCACCACCACCGAUUCAUAUCCGCCACCAAGCAAUCACCUCCGACCACAACAACACAGGCAAGCUUCGACCGAUCUGCAACACCCAAAUCUGCGGCCACCAAAGGAAACUCAUAG